GCCCUUACAUUUCCGGCUGAUGACAUCUAUAUCGGCGCUGCCGCCUUCGGGCGGAGAUGGUGAUGAAUGAUGCCGUACCAGUACUCACAGCGGACCCGGGGGCAGUACCCGGCGGCUCCACCAAAAGCCCCGAUUUUCGGGGCCUCUGACGGGGCCGAACCAGGAUAGACGUGUGCGGAACGACGGUAUUUUUGCCCGGCCUGAAAACGCCGUUAAACUGUUCAAAACCUACAAAUGCCAACGAUAACGAGGCAUUUGCGAUUGCUGCGUAACCUGUUGGGCUAACGCCCUUGGUUAUUAAGCUUGAGCAGGGUUCGGGCCGAACCCGGUAACAGAAUCGGAUUCCA
rnacentral:tmRNA from 1 species